AUGCAUAGCCAUACCACCCUGGAUAUGCCUGAUUUUUGUCUGCUCUCACAAGCUUAGCAGAUUUGCAUCUGGUUAGUGUUUGGAUGGGAAACCAUGUGGGAAUACCAGGUGCUGUAAACU
rnacentral:rRNA from 1 species